GUUUGCUUCAGCGCCACAUAUACUAAAAUCAGAAUGAUCCAGAGAAGAUUAGCAUGCCUCCUGUGCAAGGGUGACAUGCAGAUAUUUGAAGUGUUCUGUACUUAA